rnacentral:rRNA from 1 species
GAUCCUGGCUCAGGAUGAACGCUGGCGGCGUGUUUAACACAUGCAAGUCGAGCGAAGCAAUUUAAGUGAAGUUUUCGGAUGGAUCUUAGAUUGACUGAGCGGCGGACGGGUGAGUAACGCGUGGAUAACCUGCCUCACACAGGGGGAUAACAGUUAGAAAUGACUGCUAAUACCGCAUAAGCGCACAGUACCGCAUGGUAUAGUGUGAAAAACUCCGGUGGUGUGAGAUGGAUCCG